rnacentral:rRNA from 1 species
UACGUAGGGUGCGAGCGUUGUCCGGAAUUACUGGGCGUAAAGAGCUCGUAGGUGGUUUGUCGCGUUGUUCGUGAAAACUCACAGCUCAACUGUGGGCGUGCGGGCGAUACGGGCAGACUGGAGUACUGCAGGGGAGACUGGAAUUCCUGGUGUAGCGGUGGAAUGCGCAGAUAUCAGGAGGAACACCGGUGGCGAAGGCGGGUCUCUGGGCAGUAACUGACGCUGAGGAGCGAAAGCGUGGGGAGCGAACGGG